GCCAGGUGUGGUGGUGCACACCUGUAAUCCCAGCUACUGGGGAGGCUGAGGCAGGAGAAUCGCUUGAGUCCUGGAGGCAGAGAUUGCAGUGAGCCAAGAUCAGGCCACUGCACUUCAGCCUGGAUGACAGAGCGAUACUCUGUCUCAA
ensembl:misc_RNA Metazoa_SRP Metazoan signal recognition particle RNA